rnacentral:rRNA from 1 species
AGUGAACGCUGGCGGUAGGCCUAACACAUGCAAGUCGAACGGCAGCACAGUAAGAGCUUGCUCUUACGGGUGGCGAGUGGCGGACGGGUGAGGAAUACAUCGGAAUCUACUUUUUCGUGGGGGAUAACGUAAGGAAACUUACGCUAAUACCGCAUACGACCUACGGGUGAAAGCAGGGGAUCUUCGGACCUUGCGCGAUUGAAUGAGCCGAUGUCGGAUUAGCUAGUUGGCGGGGUAAAGGCCCACCAAGGCGACGAUCCGUAGCUGGUCUGAGAGGAUGAUCAGCCACACUGGAACUGAGACACGGUCCAGACUCCUACGGGAGGCAGCAGUGGGGAAUAUUGGACAAUGGGCGCAAGCCUGAUCCAGCCAUACCGCGUGGGUGAAGAAGGCCUUCGGGUUGUAAAGCCCUUUUGUUGGGAAAGAGAAGCAGCAGGUUAAUACCCCGCUGUUCUGACGGUACCCAAAGAAUAAGCACCGGCUAACUUCGUG